rnacentral:rRNA from 1 species
GAUGAACGCUAGCGGCAGGCUUAAUACAUGCAAGUCGAGGGGCAGCAUGACUGUAGCAAUACAGUUGAUGGCGACCGGCAAACGGGUGCGGAACACGUACAGAACCUUCCUUCGAGCGGGGAAUAGCCCAGAGAAAUUUGGAUUAAUACCCCAUAGUAUUACGGAGUGGCAUCUCUUUGUAAUUAAAGAUUUAUCACUUGAAGAUGGCUGUGCGGCUGAUUAGGUAGUUGGCGGGGUAACGGCCCACCAAGCCUGCGAUCAGUAACUGGUGUGAGAGCACGACCAGUCAAACGGGCACUGGGACACGGGCCCGACUCCUACGGGAGGCAGCAGUAAGGAAUAUUGGUCAAUGGACGAAAGUCUGAACCAGCCAUGCCGCGUGGAGGAUGAAGGUCCUCUGGAUUGUAAACUUCUUUUAUAUGGGACGGAAAAAGGCUUUUCUAAGUCGUCUGACGGUACCAUAUGAAUAAGCACCGGCUAACUCCGUGCCAGCCGCCGCAGUAAGAC